ACUAGUGCUGCUGAGCAGGACAGACAGGAGUCCGUUCAUCAUUCAGUAUGUCGCUCAGGGGUCUGUCCACAGAGGAACUUUUACAGAAGUUGGUGGUGGAAGGAGGAAUCGAAAUUUCAGAGGAGGCUCCGAAAUUUAAAGGUAGGUAAAGUUUGAACUUCAUAACUAUCACCAAAGACGAAAAUGUAGUUAGCUAACAUCAGAGCUAUCAGUAGCUAGCUAGUUAGCUAAGUUUGUUCUGAUAUCACAAACGUUAAUUCACUUAACUGUAAGCUAUACAAUACUGUCUCUUGAACUGCCAAAAACGUAGUAAGUAAAUGUAGUUAUGAAAAUAUUAGUUAGCUCACAUAAUUAAGUCAGCAAACGUUAUUAGCCAUGCUAAUGUCAAGCUAGCAAAGGUACACGGUCUCCCGCUCAAAGCUCCAACAAACAAAAGAAAUCACCAACGCCCGCGAAAACACUCUGAAGUAUACAAGUUAUUAUUUGGUAUUUAUCUUAUUCACUUGUGUUUAUCUAACUUGGUGUUUAUUUAUUCAUGUUUCCAUUUUUAUUACAGCAAAACAUGAAAAUCACAGUUUAAUACUGUGGUAAAAACAAAUGUAAAAGGAAAAAAAAAACUUUUGUCACAUUUAAUCUUUUGAAUUGGCUUAAUUAAUUUUCUCUCCAAGUAGCAGCCUUUUAUCUGCCGCUUAACGCAUCACACAGCAGAAAAUGUGCGGGGAUAUUAGUGCUGAGUGGGUUAAGAUAGUUCACGCAACACAUCCUGGUUUUUAAUAAUUAGUCAGUAAACUCAGCAUUGUCUGAAGCAGGCUUGAAACUGUGCACUUUUAUUUACAGUGAAAAACAUUUUGCAUCCGUUGCGUCACUGUGUUUUCACUUAAAGUCGGACCCCAACUGCGGGACACCUGCUGUACUCUGACUGUUUACACACGGUAAAGUUCUCCGUCGCUACGACGGAUUUCCGUCAUUCAGAGUUCGCAGAGGCGACUUGUCUACAUUGAUGUUAUGACAUCAAUGUAGAUCGGAGGAGAAUAAAAAAGUGUUGGCUGAUUUUUAUUGAUUGAGAUUGUCACACUCUACAGCCAAUAGACUUGUUUACAGCGUGUGCGCGCCUGACCAAUGACAAAGCUAAAGUUUAGCUGCUUAGCUAGCAAGGACUCGUCGCGCUGCUACGUUAUCAAUUAGUUUUUGACUUUAGUCAACACGUGAUAACUCGUCUGACACGGAGAGUAACCUGUUGUGGGCUACAUGUGUGAAAUAACAACUAGCUAUAGUCUGGACUUUGUCUGGGGUGUGUCUGUGUAAACGGCUUCAUUCAGCAUCUCUCCCUCCCCUCUGGCUCCGUGAGUUACCAUGGUUACAGGAACGGCCCGAAACUUUAUAAUGAUGAUCAAUAAGAAGUGUUUGGUUAGUUUGACUGUACAAAAUCAUGAAUGUAGCCUGAUUGUAGCUUGAUGCUGAAAUCUUGUAUUCUAACAUAUAGAACAAAUGUAAAGCCUCAGAGCUUUGGUUAUUAACAGGAUGUUAGUGAUGACAGAAAGGUGAUAACUCGCCAUCAGACUGAGGAGGCUGCAAAAGUUGCUGUUUGUAUGAUGUAUUUUUCUGUUAAACAAUAAGAGGCUCACUUUAAACAAUAUUAAUAAUAAUUAGUGAUGAUGAUGAGAAGAAGUAGAAAAAUAACGUACUAAAAAGUUCUGUACUUCGUUGAUUAUUUGAAAGAGUAAAACAGUUGCUGGAGAUAUAACGUUAAUAACAAGACAGCUGCUGAGAUAUGAUUAUAUACAGAGUUUUUUUUUAAAUGUAUUUACAAACCACAUCACAGCGAGUUGCAAAAAGUUUUUUUUUUUUUUUUUUAUGAAUUGUGUCAGUCACUAUCUGUAUGUCCAGAGUUUCAGUGCUUCUUUUAAUAGAUUUUUCAUUUACAUUUCUGACAAUGAUGUGGAUGGAGAGACCGUAGACUGCAGACUCACAGAAAAUAUACACUUCACACACCGCUACAAGAAGGUCACACUUACUUUGGAAGUGGUCAACCCAGAACAACAAACGUGUGAAGCUCCUAUGUCCCAGCAAACCAGAGUUUGGAAUCUAGUUGCCACAGACUGCCUGCAGUCAUUUCCAUUCCACAAUUCCUACAAGAUGUCCAGAGCCGCUUAGAUGCUAAAGAACCGGUCCACAAGAACCAGAAGGCUCUGUAUGACAUGCUGUCGCAGUGUACAAUUUGUGCAAUGAGGUUGAUGCCAUGCGCCCCUCUCCAGUCAACAUAUGCCACCGCAUCAGUGAGAACUUCACAUCUAUUCUCCCAAAUAUGCUGAAACUUGUCAAGGAUUCGCCACUGAAAAAACUCUACAUGGAAGCAAGAGAGGAUGCCUUGGCUGAGGAUAUUAAAGGAAUUGACUUCAGGGGAGGACUCCUCCUCUUGCCAUCCAUAUUCAAGGAGAAGAUUGAGGAUUUCAUUAUCCUUGGACAAAAUUAUCCUCAAACUCCAUAUCCAACCGUUCAACUGAAAGCACAAGGGUUGAAAUAUGCCCUCUCCAGACAGUGCCAGAGUGUGGUUUUUCUUCAACAUGGCAUAUCCUGGAUACUUGAAAAAGACACUGACCUUUCUCCAGAGGCGCAUCGCAAACAUCACGGGGGAUGGAGACAAAUCUCUGCCGGUAACUGUAACUCGAAUUGUCAGCCUUCUUCACUGAUCAUGCCUGGAAUGCAGUAGUUUCAUUCUCAAGUGUACCGAAAAAAGUAAUCUCUCCCUCUCUGUCCAACAUGAUAUUGUUGAUGACCUACAUUUUUUAUUGUGUUUUUUCAAAGAUCUGUCAAUGGUGUCAAAUAUGCCCUUGAGGAUGUUUUUGUAGUAGGUCAUGUACACACUGAAGCCACCCCUUUUAUUCUUGAAAAUUAAGUCCAUUCUGAACGUUGAGACUUGUUGGGUGUUGUGUGGAAAACUGUUAUAUCCUUAAUCUUAUUAUUACAAUCACUUCCAUGCUUACCAUGUCACAGUUGACAAUGACUGGAUUCUGCUCAGUCCAGGAAAUGA